UACGUAUGGUGCAAGCGUUAUCCGGAUUUACUGGGUGUAAAGUGAGCGCAGGCGGCACGGCAAGCCUGAUGUGAAAGCCCGCGGCCCAACCGCGGGACUGCAUUGGGAACUACCGGGCUGGAGUGCCGGAGAGGUAGGCGGAAUUCCUAGUGUAGCGGUGAAAUGCGUAGAUAUUAGGAGGAACACCAGUGGCGAAGGCGGCCUACUGGACGGUGACUGACGCUGAGGCUCGAAAGCGUGGGGAGCAAACAGG
rnacentral:rRNA from 1 species